GAGGGGAAACGCUCGAAAGCUUGCUUUUGAGGCGUCGACCGGCGCACGGGUGAGUAACGCGUAUCCACCUGCCCACCACUUGGGGAUAACCUUGCGAAAGUAAGACUAAUACCCAAUGACAAGACAUCUGUAAAGAUUUAUCGGUGAUGGAUGGGGAUGCGUCUGAUUAGCUUGUUGGCGGGGUAACGGCCCACCAAGGCGACGAUCAGUAGGGGUUCUGAGAGGAAGGUCCCCCACAUUGGAACUGAGACACGGUCCAAACUCAUACGGGAGGCAGCAGUGAGGAAUAUUGGUCAAUGGGCGAGAGCCUGAACCAGCCAAGUAGCGUGCAGGAUGACGGCCUAUGGGUUGUAAACUGCUUUUAUAAGGGAAUAAGUGAGUCUCGUGAGACUUUUUGCAUGUACCUUAUGAAUAAGGACCGGCUAAUUCCGUGCCAGCAGCCGCGGUAAUACG
rnacentral:rRNA from 1 species